rnacentral:rRNA from 1 species
CGGAAUUACUGGGCGUAAAGCGUGCGCAGGCGGUUUUGUAAGCCAGAUGUGAAAUCCCCGGGCUUAACCUGGGAAUGGCAUUUGGGACUGCAAGGCUUGAGUGCGGCAGAGGAGACUGGAAUUCCCGGUGUAGCAGUGAAAUGCGUAGAUAUCGGGAGGAAUACCGAUGGCGAAGGCAGGUCUCUGGGCUGACACUGACGCUCAUGCACGAAAGCGUGGGGAGCAAACAGG